rnacentral:rRNA from 1 species
UCCAAUUUUCUGCCCCGAAUACAUUAGCAUGGGAUAAUGGAAUAGGACCCUGUCCUCCUAUUUUCAGUUGGUUUUGGCAGCGCGAGGACUAGGGUAAUGAUUAAUAGGGAAAGUUGGGGGCAUUAAUAUUUAAUUGUCACAGGUGAAAUUCUUGGAUUUAUGAAAGAUUAACUUCUGCGAAAGCAUCUGCCAAGGAUGUUUUCAUUAAUCAAGAACGAAUGUUAGGGGAUCGAAUACGAUCACAUACCGCCGUAUUCUUAACCAUAACCUAUGCCUACCACCGAUUAGGAGACGUUGAAUACAAAACACCACCAUCGGCGCGGUCGUCCUUGGCGUCUGUUUUCUUCGGCGGGCCCGGGGACGGGGUCGCCUUGGCCCGCCGGCGCCUGUCUCUGUCUCCCUAUGGGAUAAGGACAA